GAAAUGAGCAAAGUUAAGUCUGCAUGAAGCCUGCCGGAGUUCUGAACCUCAGUUGCAUAAGGAUAGAGCAGACUGAUCUGGAAUCCAGGCUGACAACAAAAAGGUCUAUGAGAGUGUUUCAGCUGCUUGAGAAAAAAGUGAUUUCAUUUACAUUAUGGAUAACUCCUGAAAUGAGGCCCCUGCUUUUCAUAACAGCAGAAGACAAGCUGGAAAUCAGCAGGAGCUAGGGGUGCUAUGUAAGUGUUCAGAAGCUAGAAGUAUCUUCAGAGCUGUGCUAUGAAAACAUACUUUUAAUCCUAGUAGCUGAAAAAGUGGAGAACACUGAACUGUCCUUAUAGAAGAACAUUUCCAUAGAUGGUCAAACAUCUACUUGAUAGAGUAGCCCAUCACUGAAAGUGUUUAAUUAAUCUGAAUGUGAAGAUGCAUUAAUUCUAUCAAUGUUCUUGGGUGGAAUCUUGUUUUGACACUUAUGUGCUGCUAACAUAAUGUAGGAAGAAUUGAUAAGACAGUAGGGUUGAAAAAACCUUUUUUCCUGAGGACAUAACCAUUUGUGAAUUUGUUUCUGUGACAUUCAGUUUUAGGGUUUGCCUAGUUUGGGAUUGUUCUGCAGGAUAAGAAGUUGGUCUUGUCCUAUUUAUGCACAUAUAGUAAUGAUGAUAGUUAUCCGUUUAUAAAUACUUUAACCGAUCACUUGGCACUUAAUAAUGCUGAGAAUUAAUGCCUUGUGUAGUAUGAUAAAACCCUUAUAUAUUUAUGCAAACCUCAAGAGGCUUUAGUUAAUUACUUUAGGGAAAAAAAAGUAAAUUUAAACUUGGGAGUAAUUAAAUUUUCAUCCACUGUGGUGAAUUAUCCUAGUUAUUCUGUAUAUAGAAUGUAAUCUCAGUUUAUCUGCUUCUCAUUGGAAAGCAGCAUUGAAAAAGCACAAUAAAAUCUACUAAUGAGACU
rnacentral:lncRNA from 7 species